GAGGGAGAGAGAGAGAGAGAGAGAGAGUCGAACGUAACAACCCUGGCAAUUUCCGACGAUCAUCGGCGGAUUACGUAAAUUCUAUUUGCGAUCUGAAUACUACUUGUUAACAUUACGUCGCUUCGUGUUAAUACAGACUAUGUUUAAGUUCGCGGAGAGAUGUCGGUGAACUUAAAAGACCCACAAGAAAAAGGUCAUGCCCAGACGUGCUUUCUUUUCUAGGAAGGACUCGCAUUACGAUGGGACGACAUUGAAGAUUGUCUUGGACGCUUGUUGAUCUGUUCAGAGGCUCACUUUUGGACUCCAGGACGUGACAGCGACGUGGAGCGAAUAAUCGCAGCAGACUUUCUGAUCGGCAGACUCUCGGUACCUCUCGUACGCCUCCAAAAGGGAUUCGUCCUUCCUGGGGAUGACGAAGUCGAUGAUCAUCGUCGUACCGCCAGCGACAGCUGCCUUGGUCCCCUGAUAGAAAUCGUCGACCGAUUUGGCGCCCAUUAGCUCGCAUUCGAAAUGGGUGUGUGGAUCUAUGCCACCAGGCAUCACGUACUUCCCACGGGCGUCGAUGAUUCUAGUGCCACCCGGUAUUAUCAGAUUGCGACCCAUUUGCC
rnacentral:misc_RNA from 1 species